rnacentral:rRNA from 1 species
GAUGAACGCUGGCGGCGUGCCUAAUACAUGCAAGUCGAGCGAACAGGUGAGGAGCUUGCUCCUCUGACGUUAGCGGCGGACGGGUGAGUAACACGUGGAUAACCUACCUAUAAGACUGGGAUAACUUCGGGAAACCGGAGCUAAUACCGGAUAAUAUAUUGAACCGCAUGGUUCAAUAGUGAAAGACGGUUUUGCUGUCACUUAUAGAUGGAUCCGCGCCGCAUUAGCUAGUUGGUAAGGUAACGGCUUACCAAGGCAACGAUGCGUAGCCGACCUGAGAGGGUGAUCGGCCACACUGGAACUGAGACACGGUCCAGACUCCUACGGGAGGCAGCAGUAGGGAAUCUUCCGCAAUGGGCGAAAGCCUGACGGAGCAACGCCGCGUGAGUGAUGAAGGUCUUCGGAUCGUAAAACUCCGUUAUUAGGGAAGAACAAAUGUGUAAGUAACUAUGCACGUCUUGACGGUACCUAAUCAGAAAGCCACGGCUAACUACGUG